rnacentral:rRNA from 1 species
GUGAGGAAUAUUGGUCAAUGGACGAGAGUCUGAACCAGCCAAGUAGCGUGAAGGAUGACUGCCCUAUGGGUUGUAAACUUCUUUUAUAAGGGAAUAAAGUGAGGGACGUGUCCCUUUUUGUAUGUACCUUAUGAAUAAGGAUCGGCUAACUCCGUGCCAGCAGCCGCAGUAAUACGGAGGAUCCAAGCGUUAUCCGGAUUUAUUGGGUUUAAAGGGAGCGUAGGUUGACAUAUAAGUCAGCUGUGAAAGUUUACGGCUCAACCGUGAAAUUGCAGUUGAUACUGUAUGUCUUGAGUGUACAAGAGGUGGGCGGAAUUCGUGGUGUAGCGGUGAAAUGCUUAGAUAUCACGAAGAACUCCAAUUGCGAAGGCAGCUCACUGGGGUACAACUGACACUGAGGCUCGAAAGUGUGGGUAUCAAACAGGAUUAGAAACCCCGGUAGUCC